rnacentral:rRNA from 1 species
AUUGAACGCUGGCGGCAUGCCUAACACAUGCAAGUCGAACGGCAGCAUGGUCUAGCUUGCUAGACUGAUGGCGAGUGGCGAACGGGUGAGUAACGCGUAGGAAUAUACCUUAAAGAGGGGGAUAACCUGGGGAAACUCAGACUAAUACCGCGUAAUCUCUAAGGAGCAAAGCUGGGGACUUUUCGGAGCCUGGCGCUUUAAGAAUAGCCUGCGUCUGAUUAGCUAGUUGGUGGGUAAAGGCCUACCAAGGCGACGAUCGGUAGCUGGUCUGAGAGGAUGGUCAGCCACACUGGGACUGAGACACGGCCCAGACUCCUACGGGAGGCAGCAGUGGGGAAUAUUGGACAAUGGGGGCAACCCUGAUCCAGCAAUGCCGCGUGUGUGAAGAAGGCCUGAGGGUUGUAAAGCACUUUCAGUGGGGAGGAGGAUUGACAGGUUAAGAGCUAGUUAAUUGGACGUUACCCACAGAAGAAGCACCGGCUAACUCCGUGCCAGCAGCCGCAGUAAGAC